AGAGUUUGAUUCUGGCUCAGAACUAACGCUGGCGGCGCGUCUUAAACAUGCAAGUCGAACGGUAGCACUUGAGCUUGCUUAGGUGUGAGAGUGGCGAACGGGUGAGUAACACGUGAAUAAUCUGGCUCCGGGAUGGGGAUAACGUUCCGAAAGGAACGCUAAUACCGAAUAAGAUGGUGGUUACACAAGUAGCAGCCAUUAAAGGUGGGGACCGCAAGGCCUACCGCCUGGAGAUGAGUUCGCGGCUGAUUAGCUUGUUGGCGGGGUAACGGCCCACCAAGGCGACGAUCAGUAGCCGGCCUGAGAGGGUGAACGGCCACACUGGGACUGAGAUACGGCCCAGACUCCUACGGGAGGCAGCAGUUAAGAAUCUUGCACAAUGGGGGAAACCCUGAUGCAGCGACGCCGCGUGGAUGAUGAAGGCUUUCGGGUUGUAAAGUCCAGUAAGCAGGGAAGAAUAAGCGCCGGGUAAUAUUCGGUGUGAUGACGGUACCUGCCUAAAGCCCCGGCUAACUACGUGCCAGCAGCCGCGGUAAUACGUAUGGGGCGAGCGUUGUUCGGAAUUAUUGGGCGUAAAGGGCGUCUAGGCGGGGGAUUAAGUUAGAUGUGAAAGCUAUGGGCUCAACCCAUAAAUUGCAUCUAAGACUGGUUCUCUUGAGUUCGGGAGAGGAGAGCGGAAUUCCAGGUGUAGCGGUGAAAUGCGUAGAUAUCUGGAAGAACACCAGUGGCGAAGGCGGCUCUCUGGCCUAGAACUGACGCUGAAGCGCGAAAGCGUGGGGAGCGAACAGGAUUAGAUACCCUGGUAGUCCACGCU
rnacentral:rRNA from 1 species